rfam:Phytophthora infestans T30-4 supercont1.42 genomic scaffold, whole genome shotgun sequence.
GCGCGUUUAGCUCAGUGGUCGAACCUUGGAUUUAGAAGCCACAGGUCGGUGGUUUGAUUCCACCCGGGCGCA